rnacentral:misc_RNA from 1 species
AAUACUCACAAUGAUUUCAAUGACAUGAUUUUUUUAGUACAAGUUCAUUCAGCAGAAAAGUGGCUUCAAUUAUAUGCAAAAUCUCAUGUAUAAGGAUAUUCUUGCAGGCUUGUGUUUUAUGGAAAAAUACAGAAAAGGCACACCAGCAUGUUGAACCACGUGCAUAGAAAACAAAAUCAAAAGAUGUGUGUGUGUGUGUGUGUGU